rnacentral:rRNA from 1 species
UACGGAGGGUGCAAGCGUUAUCCGGAUUCACUGGGGUUAAAGGGUGCGUAGGUGGCUUGGUAAGUCAGUGGUGAAAUCUCCGGGCUUAACCCGGAAACUGCCAUUGAUACUAUCAGUCUUGAAUACCGUGGAGGUCAGUAGAAUAUGUCAUGUAGCGGUGAAAUGCUUAGAUAUGACAUAGAAUACCAAUUGCGAAGGCAGCUGGCUACACGAAUAUUGACACUCAGGCACGAAAGCGUGGGGAUCAAACAGG